rnacentral:misc_RNA from 1 species
GAUGAAGAACGUAGUGAAAUGCGAUAAGUAAUGUGAAUUGCAGAAUUCAGUGAAUCAUCGAAUCUUUGAACGCACCUUGCGCCCCUUGGUUAUUCCAAAGGGCAUGCCUGUUUGAGUAUCAUGAACACCUCAACUCUUGUGGUUUCCCACAAUGAGCUUGGACUGUGGAGGUUUUGUUGGCCCUGUGGUCAGCUCCUCUCAAAUGGAUCAGCUUACCGGUGUUUGGUGGCAUUACGGGUGUGAUAACUAUCUAUGCUCGUGGUCGUCUCCAAAUAACCUCCAGUGAUGGAGGUUCGCUGGAGCUUAUAAAUGUCUCUCCCCAGUGAAGACAGCCUUUGAACGUUCGAUCUCAAAUCAGGUAGGACUACCCGCUGAACUUAAGCAUAUCAAUAAGCGGAGGA